UACGGAGGGUGCGAGCGUUGUCCGGAAUCACUGGGCGUAAAGGGCGCGUAGGUGGCGGCCCAAGUCAACGGUGAAAGCUCGGCGCUCAACGCCGAGUCGGCCGUCGAUACUGGGUGGCUUGAGCACUGUAGAGGCUAAUGGAAUUCCGGGUGUAGCGGUGGAAUGCGUAGAGAUCCGAAAGAACACCGGUGGCGAAGGCGGUUAGCUGGGCAGUUGCUGACACUGAGGCGCGACAGCGUGGGGAGCAAACAGG
rnacentral:rRNA from 1 species